UGGGGAAUAUUGGACAAUGGGCGCAAGCCUGAUCCAGCCAUGCCGCGUGAGUGAUGAAGGCCUUAGGGUUGUAAAGCUCUUUCGCCGGUGAAGAUAAUGACGGUAACCGGAGAAGAAGCCCCGGCUAACUUCGUGCCAGCAGCCGCGGUAAUACGAAGGGGGCUAGCGUUGCUCGGAAUUACUGGGCGUAAAGCGCACGUAGGCGGUUUCUUAAGUCGGGGGUGAAAUCCUGGAGCUCAACUCCAGAACUGCCUUCGAUACUGGGAAACUUGAGUUCGGGAGAGGUGAGUGGAACUGCGAGUGUAGAGGUGAAAUUCGUAGAUAUUCGCAAGAACACCAGUGACGAAGGCGGCUCACUGGCCCGAUACUGACGCUGAGGUGCGAAAGCGUGGGGAGCAAACA
rnacentral:rRNA from 1 species